AAGGUGACCACCGAACCUCUUAAUUACCCAUCGUCUCAGAUGAUUUUCUAGAAAUCACUCUUUGUCCGAUGACCUCACCACGCUCUCAAAUAGAGCUCUGUGAUAAGACCCUAGACUGGUAACAACCCGGACACGGUCGGCAAACAACGCAGUGCUGAUUAGAAAUAGACUUAGAGUUAGUACCAGAUCUGGGCUCUAGCAAGGCGACAGGGAGGGGAGAAUACUUAGUGAGAACUCACACCUCAGUCACUACAGUACUAUCUGAACCUGGGGGAGGUCGGGUGAGGACAUCCCUAAGGUGGAUCCGGAUUCCUCUUCUCUACAGCAACAGGUCUUCUGUUGAAUGAUCAGAGGGGACCCCCAGUAAAGGAGUCAUCCAGAGGGGAACACAGCGUUGCAGUGUGCGACAUGAAUGCAGUGAAAACUACUGAGCUGUCUGUCCACAGUAAGGAGAACAGGCAAAGUCCUGGACACCUAAAGACUAAAGAGGACGAGGAGGACCCCUGGGACAGGAAGGACCCCAGUAACCACACAACCAGGAAGCAUCCCUCAACCACUGGGGGAAAGAAUGUUCUGCAGUUAAGACUUCAGCAGAGGAGGACUCGAGAGCAGCUUGCAGACCAAGGCAUCAUGCCUCGUGAGUAACACUCUUUUACACACGAAGUCAUGCGCAUGUGUACACACACACACACACACGCACACCACGCAUAAGUGUGUGUGACACCAUGUAUUGCAUUACUAUAGAGAGUGAGAGAGAAAGAGCGAGAGAAAAAG
rnacentral:lncRNA from 1 species